AGGUAGGGUGGCCGAGAGAAGGCGGUGGCUUGUAGCCCCAAAGACAGAGGUAGAACUCUCCCUACCA
rnacentral:tRNA from 1 species